GUUCUCAUAGUAUAUGUAGGUGAGUACGUCAGAUUUUCAAUCUGGAGGAACUUGGGGCAGCCGAUGGCUGCGGGUUGAGAAUA
rnacentral:tRNA from 1 species